rnacentral:sRNA from 2 species
UUGCAGAAGAACUAGGGUUCCGACUGCCAAUUAAAUUUUGGCAGUGUCUGGUCCGAGAGUUCUCGGUCUUGUCGAUGAUAAGACUUCACGGAGGGAUAAAAGCCCGGGAGGU